rnacentral:lncRNA from 10 species
AAAUGCUGGAAUUACAGUCAGUCGUGAGCCACCGCGCCCAGCCCUUUGUUAGCUCUUAUGUGAACUUACACAAAUUAACUCUGCCUUUUCCCCUUCAGUUUCUCUGGCUGUAAAAUGGGGUUGAUAACAGUCACUCUCUUAGGAUUGUGGUGAGGAUCACAUGUGGUGGGCCUUGCAUUCUCUGGUGCGGGAAAUAGGCACUCCUUAAACUGGUUUCCUUUCCUCCUAGGGGGGGUUCAGGAGCCCCCACAGCCAUAGAACUCCAGAGCUGGAAAGGGCUUAGGAGCAUCUGGUACAGUGGCUGGUCUCCAGAUUUUUAUAUUUUUAGAUGUCAACCAUUAAUAAAAUGAAGAGGUCUUCUGGCCCCGGCCAAGGUGCCAGUCGCCUCCUGAGAUCCUGUGCCUUCAAACCCUGAGAGUCCAUAUUUUUAAAAAAACAAAAUGAAGGAAUUAAGGCUUAAGGAACUAGAGAGUCACCUGCAAUAAGUGGAUGGAUUCGAAAAGGCCAAGCUACUUCUAGAACAGUAUCCCACCAAGCUUCACAUUGCAGCAUGUAUGCUGUAUGCAAUCCAUAGCACUUAUGAUGACAUUGAAAGUGAAGUUUUUGCAGAUCUAGGCUGUAGUGGUGGAAUGCUUAGCAUGGGAACUGCAGUGUGAGGAGCAGGGUUCUGUGUUGGAUUUGACAGAGAUGAAGAU